rnacentral:lncRNA from 1 species
CUCCCCACAGUUGGAGCACAAGGGGCCGGAGGCGUUGACAUAGAACCAGAAAAGACAUGUUCCGAGAACUCCAUGAAGCAGAUGUGAGGAAGAUUUGUUUGGAAUAAACGUACCUCUGGCCAAGAUGGUUCUGAGAUUCGUCUAGAAACUAGAUGGUAGAUGAUGAGAUUUUGAAACAAAUUGGGACCUAAAGAUACUUCAGGAUACAGACCCAGAGGGGUUAGACCAUCUACCCCAAGUCACACGAAGAAUUAGUGGCACAUCUGGUGCUGCCUUCCUGACUCUCCCUUCACUCCUGGCCUGGUAACCUGUUCACACCAUAUAGCUCCAUACCAUUCCUCCUCCUGUCACUCACAGGACAGUGAAAACAUACCACGGACCCCCAGCAACAGCCCAGCCUGUCUCCUAUUGUCUUCAUACAGAGCAAGAGAGGGCUGUGAUCAUAUAAUCUACAGCCUUUCACUCUCCACUGCUAUUGAGUAAGCUAAACCAGAGUGAAAGGGAAGUGGUACCAUCGGCACUGGCAUCUCGAGGUCACAGAAUCACGGAAACUUUCCUAUGCUCCUGUGGGGAUUCUCUAAAGCCUUCUGCUGCCUUAAGGUAUAUUGAAAUAGAUUUUUGGACUGACCUUUUCCUUAGAGUUAUCACCAAGUCCUUAGUAGUGAUAACUGUAAUGCUCUAUAGCUUAAGAUAUUUUACAGGCAGCAAGGCAAUUUUAAAAAGUCUCACAUCUGUGAGCCUGAGAGCUAAUACCAUCUGAGAUGGUUCUCUGACAUCUUGAAAAGAUUUCUUCUGUUUAUUUCUCUUUAUUUUUUUCCUUUUCUACCUCCUCUCUAAUAUAAUCAAACUUAUUUCAGUAAAGCUUAAUGACAGUGGCGUGCAAACUGAUAAUGUUUCUAAGCAAAUAUAUGCAAAUCAUGUUAUAGUAAGACAGUCAGGGUUCCUAGAGUAACAACUGGUAACAUCUGUUUGCUCACGAAAAAAGUGCUUAAGGUUAUACAGCUAUCACUAAAGAUUUAUAAUUUGCAGAGGAAAUGGUUGGAGAAUUCCUUUUACUACUUCUAAAUAUGCUGAGAUCAAGGCUGUCCAAUCCUUGAGACAGGGGAGCGGUGAUAAAUGAAGACACAGCAUCACAUGAAUACAAUUCGAGUUGCCUUUGUUAAGAGAGUGACUUCAACCUCUUUCUUGCAGUAGGUUCAGUCUGCAAAGGUAUUUGCAUUGGUGGCCGUCUUUAACAUCUCUCUUCUGCAUUAAUUCACAUUUCUGACUGGCAUAUGCUGGAGGCUGGCCUGAAUCACCUUUGUUUUAUUAAAGGUGCAUUUAAGGUCAACUACUACUAACUGCAUUGUUAAAUAUUGAUUUAGCCAUUUGAAUUAAUGUAAUUUUCAGUCCUUUCCGUACUUAAUGUACACCAGCACCCCUGUGAC